GGAGGGUGCAAGCGUUAUCCGGAUUUACUGGGUUUAAAGGGUGCGUAGGUGGAUAAUUAAGUCAGUGGUGAAAUCUUCAGGCUUAACCUGGAAACUGCCAUUGAUACUAUUUAUCUUGAAUACUUUGGAGGUAAGCGGAAUAUGUCAUGUAGCGGUGAAAUGCUUAGAUAUGACAUAGAACACCAAUUGCGAAGGCAGCUUACUACACAGUAAUUGACACUGAGGCACGAAAGCGUGGGGAUCAAACAGGAUUAGAUACCCUGGUAGUCCACGCCCUAAACGAUGGAUACUCGACAUUAGCGAUAUACAGUUAGUGUCUGAGCGAAAGCAUUAAGUAUCCCACCUGGGAAGUACGAUCGCAAGAUUG
rnacentral:rRNA from 1 species